ACCGUUUACACUUUAUACAUAAAAUUUCUUUUCGGAGUUUUUCAAUUAUUUAACCAAAAUAGGAAGUGCUAAAACAUUUUUACGAGACACACUGACUGACUCAAUAGUAUCAGUUUCGACACUUCAAUCCAAACAUAUAACGACUUGUUUACAAAAUUAGGUUCAACACCAAAAGGUUUUACUUGGCUAACACAAUGUUUGGCUCUUGCUACACAGAGUCGGGAUAAAGCAUCCAAAUCAAGGUAAAACAAAAGCAAAAUCUCGAGUCCACGACGAAAAACAGAAGUCGGAAAUAUAGCUGGAGUGAGAGAAAGAUAAGACUAUGAAAGAGAACAAUGGAAAGAAGAGAUGUCAUCUUCCAUCGAUUUCGGUCCUUUAUCAAUAGCAUUGGGAAGAAAGGGUAUGGAAUUCAACCUUUAGGCUCUUCUAUCUGCAUAAUCGUUGGAGUCAUUGUCAUCUCUGUAAUUUUCACCUGCAUCAACUGGGCUAUUAACAUCAGAAGCUUCUGCUUGGUUGCUGGUAGUGUCGUUGCCGAAGCUGAAGCUGUUGCUAGCAGCAGCAUCAGUGCUUCCACUGGCAUAGUUAUCACCACUUGUGCCAAAGCCAAAAUUGCUUUCUCCGCUUCCAUAACUGCUGGCGAUGUUAGCAUCAACACCACCUGCGCUGCCAUAAUUGCCACUGCUACCAUAACCAGAGGCACCAUAAUUGCCACCACCAGACCCAUAAUUGCCACCACCACCACCAUAACCACCAGACCCAUAAUUGCCGCCGCCACCAUAACCACCACCGCCUCCAAAGUUACCGCCACCGUAACCGCCACCGUAUCCUCUUGUCCUGUCAUUCGCUACAUUUACUCUAAUCCUACGACCAUCAAGCUCCUGUCCGUCCAAAGCCUGGAUGGCAGCACUGGCAUCCUCAGAAGUAUUGAAAGUAACGAAGCCAAAUCCCCUAGAUCUCCCAGACUCACGAUCGUAAAUGAUUCUUGCUUCAACGACUUCUCCAUACUUGCUGAAAGCUUCUUGGAGAGAGUUGUCAUUCGUGUUCCAUGAGAUUCCUCCAACAAAAAGUUUUGAAGACAUGCAUCUAAUAAGUUGAAAAAUUGAAGGCUUGGAUGCAGAUAUUUCGUGAUUGAUGUGCUGCUUGCUAACAGCCUGCCGAAGAAUGCUCCCAGCUUUGUUAAAGAAAGCCAUUCGAGCUUAAGCUCAGUUUCGCCAGAAAAAGAGACGGAGAUGGAAAAACGCUGUGUGUUUUCAACUUUCUACUUUUG
rnacentral:misc_RNA from 1 species